AGAGUUUGAUCCUGGCUCAGAUUGAACGCUAGCGGAAUGCCUUACACAUGCAAGUCGAACGGCAGCGCGGACUUCGGUCUGGCGGCGAGUGGCGAACGGGUGAGUAAUGUAUCGGAACGUACCCAGUAGCGGGGGAUAACUACUCGAAAGAGUAGCUAAUACCGCAUACGCCCUACGGGGGAAAGCGGGGGAUCUUCGGACCUCGCACUAUUGGAGCGGCUGAUAUCGGAUUAGCUAGUUGGUGAGGUAAAGGCUCACCAAGGCGACGAUCCGUAGCUGGUUUGAGAGGACGACCAGCCACACUGGAACUGAGACACGGUCCAGACUCCUACAGGAGGCAGCAGUGGGGAAUUUUGGACAAUGGGGGAAACCCUGAUCCAGCCAUUCCGCGUGUGUGAAGAAGGCCUUCGAGUUGUAAAGCACUUUUGGCGGGAAAGAAACGGCGUCGACUAAUACUCGGCGUAACUGACGGUACCCGCAGAAUAAGCACCGGCUAACUACGUGCCAGCAGCCGCGGUAAUACGUAGGGUGCAAGCGUUAAUCGGAAUUACUGGGCGUAAAGCGUGCGCAGGCGGUUCGGAAAGAAAGAUGUGAAAUCCCAGGGCUCAACCUUGGAACUGCAUUUUUAACUCCCGAACUAGAGUAUGUCAGAGGGGGGUGGAAUUCCACGUAGCAGUGAAAUGCGUAGAUAUGUGGAGGAACACCGAUGGCGAAGGCAGCCCCCUGGGAUAAUACUGACGCUCAUGCACGAAAGCGUGGGGAGCAAACAGGAUUAGAUACCCUAGUAGUCC
rnacentral:rRNA from 1 species